AGAACGAACGCUGGCGGCAUGCCUAACACAUGCAAGUCGAACGAGACCUUCGGGUCUAGUGGCGCACGGGUGCGUAACGCGUGGGAACCUGCCUUGAGGUUCGGAAUAACUCCCCGAAAGGGGUGCUAAUACCGGAUAAUGUCUUCGGACCAAAGAUUUAUCGCCUUUAGAUGGGCCCGCGUUGGAUUAGCUAGUUGGUGGGGUAAAGGCCUACCAAGGCGACGAUCCAUAGCUGGUCUGAGAGGAUGAUCAGCCACACUGGGACUGAGACACGGCCCAGACUCCUACGGGAGGCAGCAGUGGGGAAUAUUGGACAAUGGGCGAAAGCCUGAUCCAGCAAUGCCGCGUGAGUGAUGAAGGCCUUAGGGUGUAAAGCUCUUUACCAGGAUGAUAAUGACAGUACCUGGAGAAUAAGCUCCGGCUAACUCCGCGCCAGCAGCCCGC
rnacentral:rRNA from 1 species